rnacentral:tRNA from 1 species
GGCUUGCUGGUCUAGUGGUAUGAUUCUCGCUUUGGGUGCAAGAGGUCAUGGGUUCGAUUCCCGUGCAAGCCC